AUUGAACGCUGGCGGCAUGCCUUACACAUGCAUGUCGAACGGCAGCACGGGUGCUUGCACCUGGUGGCGAGUGGCGAACGGGUGAGUAAUACAUCGGAACAUGUCCUGUAGUGGGGAAUAGCCCGGCGAAAGCCGGAUUAAUACCGCAUACGAUCUACGGAUGAAAGCGGGGGACCUUCGGGCCUCGCGCUAUAGGGUUGGCCGAUGGCUGAUUAGCUAGUUGGUGGGGUAAAGGCCUACCAAGGCGACGAUCAGUAGCUGGUCUGAGAGGACGACCAGCCACACUGGGACUGAGACACGGCCCAGACUCCUACGGGAGGCAGCAGUGGGGAAUUUUGGACAAUGGGCGAAAGCCUGAUCCAGCAAUGCCGCGUGUGUGAAGAAGGCCUUCGGGUUGUAAAGCACUUUUGUCCGGAAAGAAAUCCUUGGCCCUAAUACGGUCGGGGGAUGACGGUACCAGAAGAAUAAGCACCGGCUAACUACGUG
rnacentral:rRNA from 1 species